rnacentral:rRNA from 1 species
AUCUCAAAUCAGGUAGGACUACCCGCUGAACUUAAGCAUAUCAAUAAGCGGAGGAAAAGAAACUAACAAGGAUUCCCCUAGUAACUGCGAGUGAAUCGGGAAGAGCUCNAAAUAAAAUCUGACGUUUNUNUGGCCUACC